rnacentral:rRNA from 1 species
GGGUAGAGCACUGUUUCGGCAAGGGGGUCAUCCCGACUUACCAACCCGAUGCAAACUGCGAAUACCGGAGAAUGUUAUCACGGGAGACACACGGCGGGUGCUAACGUCCGUCGUGAAGAGGGAAACAACCCAGACCGCCAGCUAAGGUCCCAAAGUCAUGGUUAAGUGGGAAACGAUGUGGGAAGGCCCAGACAGCCAGGAUGUUGGCUUAGAAGCAGCCAUCAUUUAAAGAAAGCGUAAUAGCUCACUGGUCGAGUCGGCCUGCGCGGAAGAUGUAACGGGGCUAAACCAUG